rnacentral:rRNA from 1 species
UGUUUUUUAAAUAAAGACUAGUAUGAACGGCCGCACGAGGACUUAACUGUCUCCUUAGUUCAAUCAGUGAAACUGAUCUCCUCGUGCAGAAGCGAGGAUUCCCUCAUAAGACGAGAAGACCCUAUGGAGCUUUAAACUUUUAUCAAAUAUUUUCCUACCUCUCCAAGGAACUAACACCCAAUUAAAUUUUCUUGACAAAAGUUUUAGGUUGGGGCGACCAUGGAGAAAAAAAAAUCCUCCCUGAUGAUAACCAAACCAAGAGCUACAGCUCUAAGUAUUAAGACACUUAACUCCUAUUGACCCAUUUUAUGAUCAACGAACCAAGUUACCCUAGGGAUAACAGCGCAAUCCAUUUCAAGAGUCCCUAUCGACAAAUGGGUUUACGACCUCGAUGUUGGAUCAGGGCAUCCAAGUGGUGCAACCGCUACUAAAGGUUCGUUUGUUCAACGAUUAAAGCCCU